rnacentral:misc_RNA from 1 species
UUGGAGGGCAAGUCUGGUGCCAGCAGCCGCGGUAAUUCCAGCUCCAAUAGCGUAUAUUAAAGUUGUUGCAGUUAAAAAGCUCGUAGUUGAAUUUCGGGGUUAGUAGGUUGGUCGUACCACUGGUAUGUACCGGCUUUACUGAUUCCUCCUUCUUGAAGAACUGUAAUGCCAUUUAUUUGGUGCUGCAGGGAAUCAGGACUUGUUACUUUGAAAAAAUUAGAGUGUUUAAAGCAGGCUAACGCUUGAAUACAUUAGCAUGGAAUAAUAAAAUAGGACGUAACGAUCCUAUUUUGUUGGUUUCUAGGAUUGACGUAAUGAUUAAUAGGGAUAGUUGGG